AACGCUGGCGACGCGCCUAACACAUGCAAGUCGAACGGUAGCACAGAGAGCUUGCUCUCGGGUGACGAGUGGCGGACGGGUGAGUAAUGUCUGGGAAACUGCCUGAUGGAGGGGAUAACUACUGGAAACGGUAGCUAAUACCGCAUAACGUCGCAAGACCAAAGAGGGGACCUUCGGGCCUCUUGCCAUCAGAUGUGCCCAGAUGGGAUUAGCUAGUAGGUGGGGUAACGGCUCACCUAGGCGACGAUCCCUAGCUGGUCUGAGAGGAUGACCAGCCACACUGGAACUGAGACACGGUCCAGACUCCUACGGGAGGCAGCAGUGGGGAAUAUUGCACAAUGGGCGCAAGCCUGAUGCAGCCAUGCCGCGUGUAUGAAGAAGGCCUUCGGGUUGUAAAGUACUUUCAGCGGGGAGGAAGGGAGUAAGGUUAAUAACCUUAUUCAUUGACGUUACCCGCAGAAGAAGCACCGGCUAACUCCGUG
rnacentral:rRNA from 1 species